CUGCACACUGCGACCGCUUUUCUGAGCGGCGCCCCCAGGUCCGGGAGGGAGAAGCUGGCCUGCCCGCGGCGCCUACAGGAAUGUCACCGCGGGUCUCGGAGGCUGAAUUACAAAGUCUUCUUUUUUGAUUCUCAAGAGACUGUUUGAGCCAAAUGUGGUGGUGCACACCUGUAAUGCCAGUGACUCAGGAGGCUGAGGCAGGAGGACUGCAAAUUCAAGACCAUCCUCAGCAACUUACAAAGGCCCUAGACAAUUUAUGAAGACUCCAUCUCAAAAUAAAAAAUAAAAAUGCCUGUGGAGGUGGCUAGCUCAGUGGUUAAGCACUCUUGGGUUCAAUUUUUAGUACAAAAAAAAAAAAAAAGAAGAAGAAGAAGAAGAGGAGGAGAGAGAGAGAGAUUGUUUGAAAUUUUACCCUACAUUUCAACCUGGUCAUCCUAAUUCUCCUGCUCAGACUCUGAAAACACUAUUACACUGAACUGAAACCUCCUAGUUCACCUACUUAAUCAACAACUUUUGUUAAAUGCAAACUGUAUCUAUGGCGCUGCGCUUGGUCUGUUGGACCUGUACAAAUGAACACAGUAAUGCUUCCUUCAAAAAGCUAAGAUGCAGAGGAUUAAGGGAUUAAUUGGGAUAAAGUAAGAAAAGAAACUAGUUGGCAUGAGAUUGUGAAGUGAUGGUGGGGGAAUUUAAGAACAAGCACCCAUAUGGCUUCAAUCUUGUGAGUUCCUGUGAAGCAAAUGAUGUGCAAGGAAAAGGGGCUUCAGUUGUUGGAAAACAUUAGAAAGUAUCACUGUGGGGAAUGCCAAAGUGGAAUUCCACAUAUUUCUUUCCCAAUAUCCCUAAAUCAGGGUUGAGUGCUGAAGCCUGAAAGGGCCUGUCAUCUUUGACAUAAAAUAUAGACUGAGUUUUGAAUCAUAUCAGAGCAUAAUACUUUAUAACUAAAAGCAAUGACUGCUCUUCUCCUCCCCUGCCCAUAAGUUCUAUCAUAACCAGCUCUGAUUUUCUAAUCCCUUCUGUUAAAAUGAAGACCUCCACUACAAGUAGAAAAAAAAAAAAAA